rnacentral:sRNA from 2 species
CUCACACAAACGCCUAAUCCGCCCUUCGGCGGAGCGGGGGACCCACCCGCGAAUGCGGGCCGUGGGGUGAAUCUCGCCUCAGGCGAGUAGGCCAGCUCCUUCGGCCGAACCCGUCAGCUAACCUCGCAGGCGUAGAGGGAGAGGCUAG